UACGUAGGGGGCAAGCGUUGUCCGGAUUCAUUGGGCGUAAAGAGCGUGUAGGCGGCCAGGUAGGUCGGUUGUGAAAACUGGAGGCUCAACCUUCAGAGGUCGACCGAAACCAUCUGGCUAGAGUCCGGGAGAGGAGAGUGGAAUUCCUGGUGUAGCGGUGAAAUGCGCAGAUAUCAGGAAGAACACCGGUGGCGAAGGCGGAUCUCUGGGCCAUUACUGACGCUGAGGAGCGAAAGCGUGGGGAGCGAACAGG
rnacentral:rRNA from 1 species